UACGUAGGGGGCAAGCGUUGUCCGGAUUUAUUGGGCGUAAAGAGCGUGUAGGCGGUUAGGUAGGUCCGUUGUGAAAACUCGAGGCUCAACCUCGAGACGCCGAUGGAAACCAUCUGACUAGAGUCCGGAAGAGGAGAGUGGAAUUCCUGGUGUAGCGGUGAAAUGCGCAGAUAUCAGGAGGAACACCGGUGGCGAAGGCGGGUCUCUGGGCCGUAACUGACGCUGAGGAGCGAAAGCGUGGGGAGCGAACAGG
rnacentral:rRNA from 1 species